UCCCCCAUAAUUUUAUAUAUUUUGUUUAUAUAUUUUAACGUAUAUUAAUAUAUUUAAAUAUAAUUUACGGAUUUCAGAAAUGAAUAUGUAAUUAAAAUAUAAUUAUUUUAUUUCAUUUUGAAUACUUUUAAUGAUUUACGAAAUCAAAAUGUAUAUUUGAAUUUUACGUUAAAACGAUUUCGAAUUACGAAACCACGUUCUAUUGAAAUUAGAAAGCAAUACUAAACAUUGUGGAUUCAUCAACCUAAAUCCUACUCCUAGCCCAAUUGGGCAAAGCCCAAACCAAUAAACCCAACUAAAUACUCCCUCCUCUUCUCUACUCUUACGUGAAACCAAAAGAAGAAAAAAAAAAAAGAAAAGAGAAACCCUCCUUCAAUUCACGCACAACUCAGCCAUCUCUCCUUCCUCCCCUCCACGCCGUCGCCCACUGCCGGACCACCACCUGCACCGACGACCACCGUCGACCCUCGUGCACCACCUUUGCGCCUAGCCGCGCCGCUGAGCCACCGCCUUCGCCGCCGCCUCCGCGAGUCUCUUCGCCACCCGCACAACACCACCUUCGUCAGCUCAAUCGACCGUCGCUGCCGCGCCGCAAAGUCUACCGCCGGCCAGCCUCCUCCUCAUUCUCUCCUUGUGGUGGAGAAUUCUC